AGGAGUCAUCGUGGGCUGCUGUUUCCAUAGGACACUGCUUCCCUGGUAUCCAUCACCCUGCUCUAUAGGUAACUGGGUUAUAAGUGAGAAUCCUGCUGUUGUGAGGAGGUGAAAUCACCAGAUGAAUCCAAGUAACUGAUCCAGCUUCAAGGAUGCCCUACAGAAAGGUGCUUUGUCCAUACUGUGUCUGUCAUAUACUGUGGCAUCUUGUUGCUGGAUCCCUUGCACAAUGUAGGGUCUCUAAUGGAGAAAAAAAAUGGGAUGGAGCAAGGAACCUCAGUGCACAUGUGUUAUGGAGAAACUUAAGAACCUGCGUAUGAAUAUGAGCUGGUUUCUUUCAUUCAUCCUCCCUUCCUUGGAACUCCAGAAUAUGAACUUUGAGUCACAUCAUGUGGAUGACAUCUACCAGACCAUACUGGAGGAGACAAAUCUCAAAUUGGAGUAGUCCCUUCUCUCCCCUCACUGUGCCUUUUGCGCAAGAUCAUUAUUAAAACCCUGGUUUCUUUA